UACAGAGGGUGCGAGCGUUGUCCGGAAUCACUGGGCGUAAAGGGCGCGUAGGCGGCUUCUCAAGCGUGCGGUGAAAGCUCGGGGCUUAACUCCGAGUCUGCCGUGCGAACUGGGAGGCUUGAGUCUGGUAGAGGUCGAUGGAAUUCCGGGUGUAGCGGUGGAAUGCGUAGAGAUCCGGAAGAACACCGGUGGCGAAGGCGGUCGACUGGGCCAGAACUGACGCUGAGGCGCGACAGCGUGGGGAGCAAACAGG
rnacentral:rRNA from 1 species